rnacentral:rRNA from 1 species
AGGGGGCAUGUGCACRCUCUGUUUACACAUCCACUCACACCUGUGCACCCUCUGUAGUUCUAUGGUCUGGGGGACCCUGUCUUCCUUCUGUGGUUCUACGUCUUUACACACACACUGUAAUAAAGUUUUAUGGAAUGUACAUCGSGUCUAACGCAAUACAAUACAACUUUCAGCAACGGAUCUCUUGGCUCUCGCAUCGAUGAAGAACGCASCGAAAUGCGAUAAGUAAUGUGAAUUGCAGAAUUCAGUGAAUCAUCGAAUCUUUGAACGCACCUUGCGCCCCUUGGCUAUUCCGAGGGGCAUGCCUGUUUGAGUAUCAUGAACACCUCAACUCUCAUGGUUUGCCAUGAUGAGUUGGACUCUGGGGGUUUUGCUGGCCUGUGGUCGGCUCCUCUCAAAUUAAUCAGCCUCCCAGUGUUUGGUGGCAUCACGGGUGUGAUAAAUAUCUACGCUCGCUGUUGUCUGCCAGGUAACCUUUGGUCACAAAGGUUUGCUGGAGCUCACAGAUGUCUCUCCUCAGCGAGGACAGCUUUUUUAACGUUCGAUCUCAAAUCAGGUAGGACUACCCGCUGAACUUAAGCAUAUCAAUAA